ACUGAAAUCAAGAGCUGGUCACUUCACCAACUGAGCCAUCCAGGCGCCCCUACAGGAAGGAUUUCAUCCACUGGAAGACAUUUCUGAGCUAUAACCUGAAGUCAGCAGGUCCUGGGAGAGCUCUGGGUUCCGGGAAUUCACUUCAGGCUGCGAUCUCUCUGGCUAAUUGCAGGCUGCAGCUGACACUGUCUCUGUUGAGGAGCAGCUUGCCAGAGGGACUGGAACUGAUGUUUCCUGUGGCAGCUGAAAGAGGAGGCUGGAGUCCCCCUGGCCUGGGAUACAGGGGUGCGCAGGGCACACGGAUGGCUUUGGAGACCACAGCCCUACAUCUGCUAUCUCAUCGCGAUACCACUCAAAAUCAAGCAAGGCUGAAUGUGAACGCCACACUGAAUUGUGUGCUGAAUUGCAAAGAACUGUUCUUUCUUGAUUUGUUUUGCUUGCAACUUGUGGAAUAAGGGGCUCUUCAAGGAGUACGGUCUUAUUGGAACACUUUCGUGUUGAUA